rnacentral:lncRNA from 1 species
GCAGCCAUUGGAUGAAAUGUUUGGGUUUUCUUGAAGAUCUUAGAAGAUAACUUAAGUGAGGGCGGAUGGAGAAAAAAUUUAGACCCUAUGGAGGCAUAUAAGGAAUCUGCUCUUUUAGAACAUAUUUUUGAAAUUUGGUGAGAUUGGCCUCUUACGAGGAGUGAUUGAGAAGCUGCACUCUCAGAGAGUGAAGAACUCAAUUCCAGGGAGCUUGACAUAGAUGGUGCAUGAAGUGUCUCAAGAGGAAGGCAGAGAAUAAGAUCUCAGUUACACAGUCUGGGCAAGAAUACAAGAAAAUCACCCAAAAAACUGCGACCAUCAGAGGAGCCUCCAUGUUAGAGUCUCUGGGCCUCUGUCUCUUCAGAAUCCACCCUGGAAACAGUGUGCAUCAAAACACUUCGGAGUUCUUAGAGGCACUGGGAAUUAUCUGCUGGCUUCCCACCUUUAAAGAGACUGGGCUAGUUAAAUAUCCCCCUCUGUUCAUUUUUUAAAAUUUG